rnacentral:rRNA from 1 species
UGUAUGGACGGGAUAAGUGCUGAAAGCAUCUAAGCAUGAAGCCCCCCUCAAGAUGAGAUUUCCCAACUUCGGUUAUAAGAUCCCUCGAAGAUGACGAGGUUAAUAGGUUCGAGGUGGAAGCGUGGUGACACGUGGAGCUGACGAAUACUAAUCGAUCGAAGACUUAAUCAAUUUUUAAA